rnacentral:tRNA from 1 species
GUCUUUCUAGUACAAAUGUUAGUAUGAGUGACUUCCAAUCACACCGUCUUAGUUAAAUCCUAAGGAAAGAUA